ensembl:lncRNA
AGAGCAUCUGACUCUCAGACUUGGCUUUGCCACUAGCGGGCUGUGUGAGUUUGGGCAAACCCCUUGGAAUCUCUGGGUCUCAGAGGUGAUCUUAACCCAAGGAUAGUCAGCUCCCUGGAAUCAUAUGCAAAAUCAAGCAGAAGUGUAUUUUUCUGGGGUAGAGGAUUCAUAGUAUUAAGUGGUUUUUUUAAAAGAAGGCUUAGAACUGGAAAAGGUUAAUUGGAACUGAACCAAAUGGUAUCUCGGGGCGCUUUAAUGGGCAGAAAAAGGAGAUACCAUUGCUGAGAAACCUGGCGGGGAAGUUUGCCCGACACCCUUUGCCCUACGCAGCCUAUUUGGCAGAGAGGCAGUUCUCCAAAUGACCGACAGAUGGCGUUAAACCUUCACUGUAGCUUUCCUGUUCUCCCCAAGACCUGCCAGGGCCCUGACUGUUUCCAGGGAGGCAUCUGCCAUCAUCUGUGCCUGCUUGUUAGAAGCUGUGGAGGGUUUCCCAGGGUCCUGGAUGCAUGGGGGGUAGGGUGGGGGAUGGAAGGCCUAGGAGAAGACAAAGAGAAAUCCCCUAAAGUACCCCUAAAAUGGGAAUGCUAAGAAGAGCUCCAGCUAGAACAAGCUCUGAGCUGUAAGUUCACCAUUUCCUUGCUGCGUGACCUUGAGAAAAACCACUUCCUGUCUCUGAGCCACAUCUUCUCAUCUGUAAAAUGGGAAUGAUAAUAGAACUUCCUACAUCGCAUCGGGCUCUGCUGGAGAGUCAACGACAUCAUGGUAUUCAUCCAUUCAUUCAUUGACUCACUCAACAAAUAUGAAUUGAGGGACUUCCCUGGCGUCCAGUGGCUGAGACUCUGCCCUCUCAAUGCAGAGGGCCCAGGUUUGAUCCCUGGUCAGGGAGCUAGAUUGCACAUGCCAGAAUCAAAAGAACCUAUAUGCUACAAUGAGGAUAAAAGAUGCCACGUGAUGCAAUUAAGACCUGGUACAAUC